GUUAACGCCAUCCUGUGGUGUUCAGAGGACGAGUUGGAAAUAACAUCCACAUUUCCUUCUUGUUUUAAUGUAGCACAUUAAUUUAGAACAGUAAACAGUCAGUUUCACCGAAACUCCUUUAGUAGGUGUCCUACAUCACUUUUUUAUGGACACCCUGCAGCCAAUCAGAAUCGAGUAUUCACCCACCCAUUCACCAUGGUAUAAAAAUGAUUAAACAUGUUUUUUUCU